rnacentral:tRNA from 1 species
GCCCCCGUAGCUCAGGUGGAUAGAGCAGCGGUUUCCUAAACCGCGUGUCGUGCGUUCGAAUCGCGCCGGGGGCACCA